rnacentral:lncRNA from 1 species
AAGUUGGUGAAGAUCUUAUUCCAAACACAUCAGGUUUCCUGCCAUUAAGUCAUUCCAAAAUGCAGAUGUGAGGCUGGGGUUCUUGAAAGGGCUGCAGAUAGAAGCAACUCAAGUACAGAGCUUGGAUGAAACUAGCAUUUGCAAUGGGUUACUUCCAAGAAAGCUACAAGAAAAUGGUAGGCUGGUUUCCCCCAAUGUGAAGCAUCCACAUUCAGUUCAAAGACAUGGAAGUGGAGCUCUGCCUACAGAUGUGAAGGCUCGGGAAGGAAACAGAAAAAUAUGAUCUUUCCCAUCUUAUUCCAACUACAGUAGAGUCUCGCUUAUCCAACAUAAACGGGCCGGCAGAACGUUGGAUAAGUGAAAAUGUUGGAUAACAAGGAGGGAUUGAGGAAAAGACUAUUAAAUAUCAAAUUACGUUAUGAUUUUUACAAAUUAAGCACGAAAACAUCGUGUUUUAGACAGAAAAAGCAGUUCAAUACAUAGUAAUGUUAUGUAGUAAUAAUUACUGUGUUUACAAAUUUAGCACCAAAAUAUUGCAAUGUAUUGAAAACAUUGACUACUAAAAGGCAGACUGUGUUGGAUAAUACAGAACGUUGGAUAAGUGAAUGUUGGAUAAGUGAGACUCUAAUGCAGGGGUCCCCAAACUUUUUAAACAGGGGGUCAGUUCACGAUCCUUUGGACCGUUGGAGGGCCGGACUAUAGUUGGCAACCGAGCAAUAUUAAUAAAAAAUAAUAAUAAUAAUAAUAAUAAUAAUAAUAAUAAUAAUAAUAAUAAUAAUAAUAAUAGACCCUUGGGCCAUUGAGUCCAACCCCCUUCUGCCUCUGUGCACCAAAAGCACAAGCAAAGCACCCCUGACAGAUGGCCUCCCAGCCUCAAUAAAUAUUAUUAUUAUUAUUAUUAUUAUUAUUAUUAUUAUUAUUAUUAUUAUUAUUAUUACCCGGUGGUGAUGGGCACACUGGGUGCCAUGCCAAAAGAUCUCAGCCGGCAUUUGGAAACAAUAGAUGUUGACAAAAUUACGAUCUGCCAACUGCAAAAGGCCACCCUACUGGGAUCUGCGCGCAUCAUCCGAAAAUACAUCACAAGUCGAACACUUCCCAAGUGUCUAGGACUGUGUGAUGUAUUGUCGGAUGAUGCGUGCAGAUCCCAGCAGGGUGGCCUUUUGCAGUUGGCAGAUCGUAAUUUUGUCAAUGUCUAUUGUUUCCAAAUGCUGGCUGAGAUAUUUUGGCACGGCACCCAGUGUGCUGAUCACCACCGGGACCACCUGCACUGGUUUCUGCCAGAGUCUUUGAAGUUCAGUCUUGAGGUCCUGAUAGCGGCUGAGUUUUUCCUGUUGUUUUUCGUCAAUGCGACUGUCACCUGGGAUGGCGACAUCAAUGAUCAAACCUUUUUCUUUUCCACAACUGUGAUGUCUGGUGUGUUGUGUUCCAGAACUUUGUCAAUCUGGAUUCGGAAGUCUCACAGUAUUUUUGCGUGCUCAUUUUCCAAUACUUUUGCAGGUUUGUGAUCCCACCAGUUCUUUGCUGCUGGGAGGUGGUACUUGAGGCAUAAGUUCCAAUGAAUCAUUUGGGCCACAUAGUUGUGCCCCUGUUUGUAGUCUGUCUGUGCAAUUUUCUUACAGCAGCUGAGGAUAUUAUUAUUAUUAUUAUUAUUAUUAUUAUUAUUAUUAUUAUUAUUAUUAAUAGAG